GCGAGCCGUAUACAUUGAAAGGUGUAUGUACGGUUCUGAGUGGGGAAUUGUGAAACCGAUUAUGGUAACAUAGCACGGCGCAUAAUUUCUACACUAC
rnacentral:ncRNA from 1 species